rnacentral:rRNA from 1 species
GGAUUAGAUACCCGGGUAGUCCACGCCGUAAACGAUGAGUGCUAGGUGUUAGGUCCUUUCCGGGACUUAGUGCCGCAGCUAACGCAUUAAGCACUCCGCCUGGGGAGUACGACCGCAAGGUUGAAACUCAAAGGAAUUGACGGGGGCCCGCACAAGCGGUGGAGCAUGUGGUUUAAUUCGAAGCAACGCGAAGAACCUUACCAGGUCUUGACAUCCCGAUGCCCGCUCUAGAGAUAGAGCUUUACUUCGGUACAUCGGUGACAGGUGGUGCAUGGUUGUCGUCAGCUCGUGUCGUGAGAUGUUGGGUUAAGUCCCGCAACGAGCGCAACCCUUAUUGUUAGUUGCCAUCAUUCAGCUGGGCACUCUAGCGAGACUGCCGGUAAUAAACCGGAGG